UACAGAGGGUGCGAGCGUUGUCCGGAAUCACUGGGCGUAAAGAGCUCGUAGGCGGGACCGUAAGUCCGAGAGGAAAUCUCAAGGCUCAACUUUGGGGCUUUCUUGGAUACUGCGGUUCUGAGGAUGAGAGAGGUAAGCAGAAUUCCCGGUGUAGCGGUGAAAUGCGUAGAUAUCGGGAGGAAUACCAGUGGCGAAGGCGGCUUACUGGCUCAUUCCUGACGCUGAGGAGCGAAAGCGUGGGGAGCAAACGGG
rnacentral:rRNA from 1 species